GGUGAACCUGCGGAAGGAUCAUUAUUGAAAUU
rnacentral:rRNA from 1 species